GUAACAAAACGGCUGGUUCUAAAAGCAUUAGCUGAUCCUAGUCAAAGCUCGGUUCUACUUGACGUGAUAAUUAUCUAACGUCGAGGACAUUCCUUCAUUGGAAUGGCCAAGCUCUAAUGUGGAUCGCUUCUAAUCGUCUUCACAGACAAACUAAUCAUCAAUCUGACCUCGAAUCAGGUGGGACUACCCGCUGAACUUAA
rnacentral:misc_RNA from 1 species